AUCCAGCUGACGAUUCCCAAAUAGGACGAAAUGAGCGUCAAACAGGAU
rnacentral:hammerhead_ribozyme from 1 species